GACAGUGUGGUGUAGUGGUAUGAGUGCUGGACUAGGAUUCCAGAAAUCAGGGUUCAAAUCCCCUCUCAGCCA